ensembl:lncRNA
GUUCUCUAUGUUGCAAUGGAAACGAGUCAAAUUAAUUGUCAAAGUUAAACAAAGUGAGAGACAGAAAGAUACCACUUACAGACUAUGAAAGAGAGCGCCACAUGGGAAGACUGAAGGACAUACUGUAUGAAAAUGAAAGAGUAAAGGAAAGGAGGAGAUACAAAAACAUGGACAUGCAGAUUGAAAGAGAAAUUGCAAGGUACAGGGAGGAGUUGAGAAGAAAUGAAAUGAGAAGGCCCGUAAGGGAGGAGCCAGAUAGACAGAGGGAUCCAGACUGGGAGUUUGACUCAGGAAUAAGAGAUAGAAGGAGGGAAAGUUAUUCAGGGGUCACUGACCUUUCAAGCAUGAGGGAAAGAGAGACAGACAGAGACAGAGAAAGGCAUGGACAAAGAGACAGAGAGGGCAGAUAUUAUCCUCGUCUCAUGGAAAGAGAGACAGAGAGCUUUUCAGACAGGGAAAGGAGGACUGAUAGACAGAGAGAGGGAGAGAGAUCUAGGAAAAAAGAUACAAAAAGCGAAGGAGACAGUGAUGGAGAUCGAGACAAUGAGAGGAGAAAAGGGGACACUUUUCCAAGGAUGACAAAACCAAACAAAGUGAGAGACAGAAAGAUACCACUUACAGACUAUGAAAGAGAGUGCCACAUGGGAAGACCGAAGGACAUACUGUUUGAAAAUGAAAGAGUAAAGGAAAGGAGGAGAUACAAAAACAUGGACAUGCAGAUUGAAAGAGAAAUUGCAAGGAACAGGGAGGAGUUGAGAAGAAAUGAAAUGAGAAGGCCCGCAAGGGAGGCGCCAGAUAGACAGAGGGAUCCAGACUGGGAGCUUGACCCAGGAAUGAGCCAUAGAAGGAGAGAAAGUUAUUCAGGGGUCACUGACCUUUCAAGCAUGAGGGAACGAGAGACAGAGAGCUUUUCAGACAGGGAAAGGAGGACUGAUAGACAGAGAGAGGUAGAGAGAUCUAGGAAAAAAGAUACAAAAAGCGAAGGAGACAGUGAUGGAGACCGGGGUAAGGAAGGGAAGAGAGAAGAAGAUGCUACACAAAGACACAAACUCUACAAGAGUGAAGAGAGAGACAAACGUAGAGAGAGAGAAGCAGAAAGAUGGCGAGACAAGGCAAUAAGAGGAAGAGAUUACAGAGAGAUGGGUUAUCAUGAUCCAAAAGGACAAAAUUCAGAACGACUCAAAGAGACAGAUAAACCAAGAGAUAGAACGAGAGACUCCAAAGACAAAAGAAUGGACAGAGAUGCUUACAUAUACACAGCUGAAAGAGGAAGGUAUAGAGAUGGAGAACGGACAAGAGAUAGGGAUAGGUAUUCUGAAAGAGAGAUUGAAGAGUGGGAGAGGCGGAGGAAAGAGUACAAAGAGACAGGGAGAAGUAAGAUGGAGAAUAGUGGGGAGCUGAUUUCAGGAAGUGAUAUUGAGAAUGAAAAAAAGAGGACAAUGAGAGAGAACCUUGAGGACAGAGACAGAGAAAACACAUCUGAGACUGAUAAAGAGAGACUGAAGGAAAGAACAGAGGACGAGCAGGAAGUCAGGAGUACACCGAGGGAAGAUGAGAAGAAUGAAAGCAUUGCUGCUGAGGAAGCAGUUACAAAGAAAUCUAAGAACAGGAUAAGGAAAUUGUGGCUGGAACCUCGAAGUGAGAGAAAAGAAUCUUGGUUAAAAGAGGACACAGAGAGAGAGAGCACAAGAGAGAGGAACAUCCAAAGAUACAAAGAAAGCAUGACAACAGGAAAUGAAGAAGAGCCUGAGAGAAGGAAACCAAGCAAGAGCAAAUGUCUUGAGGACAAGUAUAGAGAACUUGAAAGGGCUGGAGAGUUCAUGAGGGAUGUGGACUUAGAAAGAGAGGAGAAGAGGAUGGAAGGGGACUUCACUCAUGAUAAAGAAGCCAUGGAUUCAGAGUGGCAGAUGGAAAGAGAGAAUGUGGCCGAUAACUCAGAAGAAAAUGAUAGAGAUGAACAGAGAAGCAAUAAUAGACAUGACUACUUAGAGAAUGAGGAAGGAAGUGAGGGAGAAUCGGAAGCAGAGAAGAACAUAAUGACGUCAGCAGAUGAUGGAUUUGUAACAGUUUCCAGUGGAGGGGAUGAUGCGGAGGAAGAGGAUUUUGAAGACUGCAAAGAAUUCUGGGAAGGUGGAGUUCCCAAAGCUGUCUCUGGACACUCAGGAACUACAGAGGACACAGAAAAUGGGGCAAAUGAAGCUCCAAAAGGACCCCUAACAGUCUUUUGUGUGAUUGGUCAGACCCAUCCCAUAUCACAAACCAAUGCGAAUUCAUAUGUACAUCCUACUGUUGAAGAGGCAGGCAAUCAGCAUUCAUGUCAUAACAUGGGCACUCAAGAUGAAAUGAGCAUAAAUGAAGCAUUUGAAAAGGUUGAACACUGUGAACAGGACAUUGAAAGAGCAAUGGACGACCUCAGUCUUUGUCCUAAUGUGGAAAAAGGGGAGGGAGCAGGAAGUAAUGACCAGACAACAGAGGGUGUAACAUCACUGGAAGGCCAAAUGAUUCCUCCCAGUGAGCAAUCAGAACAAGACACCCAACUCCUCCUACUAGAGCCUUCUGAAACUUCAGGGUCAUCCAAGGAUAAUGGUCAUGGUGGAACAGAGACUCAUGGUGAAGACAAAAUACAAAAAGGAGCAAAAGAACCUACCGGAGACUCAGUGGAGCAUUCUGGUUCUGAUGACACAUGGAGCACAUGUGAGGAACGAAAGCGAUGCUCUACUGCUCCUCACCUUAGAUGGGCCAAGAACGUGGUGAGAGAGAUCCUGGGCCUAAAGUCAGUGGACACAGAAAAUGCAAGAGGUAGUGUGACACACAUAGACACGCAAACCAACACACAAACAGAGGGUGAGAGAGAAAUGGAAAAAUCAAGGAAAGAGAAAGAAAUAAUAGAGGGAGGAGAAGAACAACAGGGAGGGAUGGAGAGAGAAUUGAAUGAGAACCGUGACUGGCUGGAUCCUAGUUCUAACCAGCACACGGUUUCCUCAGAAGGAGAGGCAGAGGGGAAGGUAGAAGAAGUAUAUAAGAAGAAAGAGAGUAAAGAGGAAGUUGUUCUAAGCUCUAGUAGUUUUCGAGAUUUGGGGAAUGAGGCUCGCACGAGGAGGCGAGGGUUCCGAAAGUCAGCGGAGAAAACCAAAGAAGAGGAAGAGGAUGAGGCAGAGGAAGAGGGAGUUGGAAGGGACCGCAGGACGAGAAUAUUCAACAAAUCAGAUGAAGAAGAGGACGAAUUAUGUUUUACCUGGAGUGAAAUGGAUCUAAGGUAG